GUCGAGUGCGCGGUUGUAGCAAUACAACUGGCGCACGGCGCACGGGUGCGUAACACGUGGGCAAUCUGCCCUCCGAUGGGGAAUAACCCCGCGAAAGCGGGGCUAAUUCCGCAUAACAUUCCCUGGACUCUGGUUCGGGGAUUCAAAGCAGCAAUGCGUCGGAGGAGGAGCCCGCGCCCGAUUAGCUAGUUGGUGAGGUAACGGCUCACCAAGGCAAUGAUCGGUAGCUGGUCUGAGAGGAUGGCCAGCCACACUGGAACUGAGACACGGUCCAGACUCCUACGGGAGGCAGCAGUGGGGAAUCUUGCGCAAUGGGCGAAAGCCUGACGCAGCGACGCCGCGUGGGGGAUGAAGCUUCUCGGAGUGUAAACCCCUUUCGACCGGGACGAAUGCCCGCAAGGGAGUGACGGUACCGGUAGAAGAAGCCCCGGCUAACUACGUGCCAGCAGCCGCGGUAAGACGUAGGGGGCCAGCGUUGUUCGGAAUUACUGGGUGUAAAGGGUUCGUAGGCGGUGUGGCAAGUCGGGAGUGAAAUUUCUGGGCUUAACCCAGAGGCUGCUUCCGAAACUGCUGUGCUCGAGUGUGGGAGAGGCGCGUGGAAUUGCA
rnacentral:rRNA from 1 species